rnacentral:rRNA from 1 species
UGGGGAAUAUUGGACAAUGGGCGAAAGCCUGAUCCAGCCAUGCCGCGUGUGUGAAGAGGGCCUUUUGGUUGUAAAGCACUUUAAGUGGGGAGGAAAAGCUUAUGGUUAAUACCCAUAAGCCCUGACGUUACCCACAGAAUAAGCACCGGCUAACUCUGUGCCAGCAGCCGCGGUAAUACAGAGGGUGCAAGCGUUAAUCGGAAUUACUGGGCGUAAAGCGCGCGUAGGUGGUUAUUUAAGUCAGAUGUGAAAGCCCCGGGCUUAACCUGGGAACUGCAUCUGAUACUGGAUAACUAGAGUAGGUGAGAGGGGAGUAGAAUUCCAGGUGUAGCGGUGAAAUGCGUAGAGAUCUGGAGGAAUACCGAUGGCGAAGGCAGCUCCCUGGCAUCAUACUGACACUGAGGUGCGAAAGCGUGGGUAGCAAACAGGAUUAGAUACCCUGGUAGUCCACGCCGUAAACGAUGUCUACCAGUCGUUGGGUCUUUUAAAGACUUAGUGACGCAGUUAACGCAAUAAGUAGACCGCCUGGGGAGUACGGCCGCAAGGUUA